rnacentral:rRNA from 1 species
AUACGGAGGGUGCAAGCGUUGUUCGGAAUUACUGGGCGUAAAGCGCGUGCAGGCGGUAAGGUAAGUCAGAUGUGAAAGCCCCGGGCUCAACCCGGGAAGUGCAUUUGAUACUGCCUUUCUUGAGUAUGGGAGAGGAGAGUGGAAUUCCCAGUGUAGAGGUGAAAUUCGUAGAUAUUGGGAGGAACACCCGUGGCGAAGGCGACUCUCUGGACCAAUUCUGACACUGAGACGCGAAAGCGUGGGGAGCGAACAGGAUUAGAUACCCUAGUAGUCC